rnacentral:rRNA from 1 species
AGAUUAGGUCCUCUGGAUUGUAAACUUCUUUUAUAUGGGACGAAAAAAGGUCUUUCUAGAUCACUUGACGGUACCAUAUGAAUAAGCACCGGCUAACUCCGUGCCAGCAGCCGCGGUAAUACGGAGGGUGCAAGCGUUAUCCGGAUUCACUGGGUUUAAAGGGUGCGUAGGCGGGCAGGUAAGUCAGUGGUGAAAUCCUGGAGCUCAACUCCAGAACUGCCAUUGAUACUAUCUGUCUUGAAUAUUGUGGAGGUAAGCGGAAUAUGUCAUGUAGCGGUGAAAUGCUUAGAUAUGACAUAGAACACCCAUUGCGAAGGCAGCUUACUACGCAUAUAUUGACGCUGAGGCACGAAAGCGUGGGGAUCAAACAGGAUUAGAUACCCUGGUAGUCCACGCCCUAAACGAUGGAUACUCGACAUACGCGAUACACUGUGUGUGUCUGAGCGAAAGCAUUAAGUAUCCCACCUGGGAAGUACGUUCGCAAGAAUGAAACUCAAAGGAAUUGGCGGGGGUCCGCACAAGCGGUGGAGUAUGUGGUUUAAUUCGAUGAUACGCGAGGAACCUUACCUGGGCUAGAAUGCUGGGAGACC